CUUUAUGACUUAACUAUCUCACUAUCUUAACCUUCACCAUCUCCUUCACUUCAUCAAGCUCAAAAACUCAGGCUAACCCUCACUGAACCACCUUCAUUCUUUUCUCCAAAUCCCAACCCUAGAUUUCAACGGUAGCAUUACUUGUCCCAACCUUCUCUACAAAACCCCUGAUCUUCUCCGCGAGGACACCAAGAGUAAAUUGGGUCUUGAAAAGUCUACCACCGCGAGAUCCGGUACACACAAUCUCAAAAACUUCCACAUCCGGGAAAUUAAGCGUGAGUGGUGCUUGUUAUGCUCUCCCAUGCAUGAAUGGUGGGUCUAACCAUCAUCACUUACAGAUAAACCCCUAAUGGCUACUGAAAACACCUCAACCUGGAUCGAGUUAUCCUGUUCAGCACCAAUUCCAUUCGGGUUUUCCUUUCCGGAGCAUCCAACGACCCCACUCUCUCCUCUCAAUUCCGACAAACUUCCUCUGUUCUACUCGCCUAAGCCGAAAUAGUGCGAGACACUUCAUGCUAUCUGGAUCGCUUCUGACCCAUCCACCAGACCCGAAUUGACCCGACUCCUAUCCGGUACCGGCUUCGUCUUGUCAAUCCCUAAACCCAUAGAAAAGAGUGAAGAAUUGAAAGCAAGGUCAAAAAAGUUGGAAGAUUUAGCUGAGAGGAAAGCAUACAAGGAGCUUGUUAAGGAUAUUGGACCAAAGGAAGAUGUUCAUAAACAAUUAGGAUCAAUAAGGAUUUGGAUUAAUAAAUCACAAAUUUGGGAUGGAGUUUCAAUUUCAGUUACACGGAAGUAUCAUGGAAAAUUGGACUAUUUAGUAAACCAGACACAAAGCAAAUAUUGAUAUUUUGAAAAGAAACAAUGGAUAUUCAUGGUAGAAGACUAUGGAGCAAAAGUUAAAUACAUGGAAGAAGACUAUGGAGCAAAAGUUAGAUAUUGUUCUCAAACAUGAUUGUACACUAUGAGUAUAAUUUUUACAUCUACAGUUUAAUAAUUUAUUUUUAUUCUUAGUAUUAUAGAAAAUUCUUUUACAAAUAAUUAAAGUAUAUUUGCAAUUUUACUUUUAACAAAAAAACCUCAU